ACAACAGGGAUUGCCCUAGUAACGGCGAGUGAAGCGGCAACAGCUCAAAUUUGAAAUCUGGCUCUUUCAGGGUCCGAGUUGUAAUUUGUAGAGGGUGCUUUGGAGUUGACUGUGGUCUAAGUUCCUUGGAACAGGACGUCGCAGAGGGUGAGAAUCCCGUAUGUGGCCGCCAGUCUUCUCCGUGUAAAGCCCCUUCGACGAGUCGAGUUGUUUGGGAAUGCAGCUCUAAAUGGGAGGUAAAUUUCUUCUAAAGCUAAAUAUUGGCCAGAGACCGAUAGCGCACAAGUAGAGUGAUCGAAAGAUGAAAAGCACUUUGGAAAGAGAGUCAAAAAGCACGUGAAAUUGUUGAAAGGGAAGCGCUUGCAGCCAGACUUGCCUGUAGUUGCUCAUCCGGGCUUUUGCCCGGUGCACUCUUCUAUAGGCAGGCCAGCAUCAGUCGCGGCGGUUGGAUAAAUGUCUGCACAAUGUACCUCUCUUCGGGGAGGACUUAUAGGGCAGGCGGCAUACAACCAGCUGCGAUUGAGGUCCGCGCAUCUGCUAGGAUGCUGGCGUAAUGGCUGUAAGCGGCCCGUCUUGAAACACGGACCAAGGAGUCUAACAUCUAUGCGAGUGGUUUGGGGUGUCAAGCCCGAGCGCGUAAUGAAAGUGAACGGGAGGUGGGAACCCCCUCGGGGUGCACCAUCGACCGAUCCUGAUGUCUUCGGAUGGAUUUGAGUAAGAGCAUAGCUGUUGGGACCCGAAAGAUGGUGAACUAUGCCUGAAUAGGGUGAAGCCAGAGGAAACUCUGGUGGAGGCUCGCAGCGGUUCUGACGUGCAAAUCGAUCGUCAAAUUUGGGCAUAGGGGCGAAAGACUAAUCGAACUAUCUAGUAGCUGGGUCCCUGCCGAAGUUUCCCUCAGAUAGCAGUAACGUUUU
rnacentral:rRNA from 1 species